GAUGUGUGUGCCAACGCCGUGAUGGCCGGCAGGUUUAUCUAAGCUGACAGAGAUGAAUCUCCCAGCAGAGGGCUGCGCCUGUUCAGCUGUCCUGCUGAGGGGAGCCCACACCAGAGCUGACAUUAAAUUAUUUCAGGAGGUUUACAGCCACAAAGUGUUUACCUAGCUGAAACAGUGGAAGUGCCCCUGGGGGACAAUUAUAGCCCAGCUGCAGGUACCUGACUCACAGUAUAUUAAAUAACCUGCAUCUACUGCCAUUGGAUUUACAAUGGAAUGAAGAAGAUCAAAAGAACUGGGAAAAAAGCACAGGGAAAAAGGAAAGGAGAUUCUGAACUCUGUCGGGACAAACACAGUAUUCUCAGUGCGUUGAAGAGUUGCAAGGCAUCAUUAUUUAACACCAUAAAG